AGAAAGGGGUGUGGCCUGGGAUAAAGCUCUGAGGUUUGCAGGGAACACAUUUUUGGGGCCCCAGGCUUGAAGUUCUCCAGCUCUGAUUUAGUUUAGGGAGUAAUUGCGGUAUGGAAUGACUCUACCGAUCAACUAAUGCUGUCGUGAUCUGCCAGAAGAAAAUCCACAGAGAUUGCUGUAAUUCUUUUAUAAACUAUGCCAGGAGUUUGGAGAACAGAACAAUAACAACAAAAAAGGUCUGAACAUAUUAUGCACAAGAGCAUCUGAGGAUUCAGACAAAGAAAACAGCAUUCAGAUAUCACUUUAGAAAACCAUCAGCUCUGUGUGCAUUAAAAUAAAAACUGUGUUGAAAUGCUUCAGCAGAACACCUUCUUUUGGAAAUGUGGAUACAGCUGGUGAUGUUUUUGUUCCUAUGAGGCCUUCAUUAUGGAGGUACUUGUUGUGACUGCACAGCUAAGGUGGAGAGGAGGAAAAUACUUGAAGUCCUCAGUAUCGUCCCCCAAUUCACUGAAC